rnacentral:rRNA from 1 species
GAAAGUUGAAAAGAACUUUGAAGAGAAAGUUAAAGAGUACGUGAAACCGUUCAGGGGUAAACCUGUGGAACUCAAACGAGCGAACGGGGAGAUCAUCGCGUCCUCCGUCGGGGCCCGCGGUCCGCGUCACACCUACGCCCUCGGUUCGCGCCGGGGCGGCGGGUGCGCGGGUUCGCAGCCGGGCCCCCGGAGCGCGUGCACUUCUCCCUUAGUAUAACACCGCGACCCGUCGCGCCGCGGUCGAAUGCGCCGUGCGGUUGACCCGUCUCGCUCUGCGAGGCGGAGCCGCGGCGUUCACGGCCGCGGCGUACACAUAUAUACGCAGCGACGGUAGAGAACGAGGUUCGCGUCCGCCCCUUGCGGGCGUCCGUCGCGCCGCAGCGGCGCCCUCGGUGCGGUCCCCGGCGUCUAGCGCGUCGCGGGUGCUGCGCCCCGGGCGUCCGUCGUUAGCGGCGCGCUCUCGGACGGGACGCGUCCCGGUCGGCGGUGGUUUUGUUUUGGGCACUCACAGGACCCGUCUUGAAACACGGCUAGCAUGUGCGCGAGUCAUUGGGAUCACUGAUAAACCCAGAGGCGAAAUGAAAGUGAAAGGCCGUCCUCGAGACGGUCGCAGGGAAGAUGCGCGGGCGGCGUCAGCCGCCCCGCCGCAUUCCCGAGGCGUUUCGAGAAAGCCACCGUGCGAUUAUCGAGACGCACUGAGAGCGUACACGCUGGGACCCGAAAGAUGGUGAACUAUGCCUGG